rnacentral:rRNA from 1 species
AGAGUUUGAUCCUGGCUCAGGAUGAACGCUAGCUACAGGCUUAACACAUGCAAGUCGAGGGGCAGCAUUUUAGUUUGCUUGCAAACUGAAGAUGGCGACCGGCGCACGGGUGAGUAACACGUAUCCAACCUGCCGAUAACUCCGGGAUAGCCUUUCGAAAGAAAGAUUAAUACCGGAUGGCAUACGAAUAUCGCAUGAUAUUUUUAUUAAAGAAUUUCGGUUAUCGAUGGGGAUGCGUUCCAUUAGUUUGUUGGCGGGGUAACGGCCCACCAAGACUACGAUGGAUAGGGGUUCUGAGAGGAAGGUCCCCCACAUUGGAACUGAGACACGGUCCAAACUCCUACGGGAGGCAGCAGUGAGGAAUAUUGGUCAAUGGGCGAGAGCCUGAACCAGCCAAGUAGCGUGAAGGAUGACUGCCCUAUGGGUUGUAAACUUCUUUUAUAAAGGAAUAAAGUCGGGUAUGUAUACCCGUUUGCAUGUACUUUAUGAAUAAGGAUCGGCUAACUCCGUGCCAGCAGCCGCGGUAAUACGGAGGAUCCGAGCGUUAUCCGGAUUUAUUGGGUUUAAAGGGAGCGUAGAUGGAUGUUUAAGUCAGUUGUGAAAGUUUGCGGCUCAACCGUAAAAUUGCAGUUGAUACUGGAUAUCUUGAGUGCAGUUGAGGCAGGCGGAAUUCGUGGUGUAGCGGUGAAAUGCUUAGAUAUCACGAAGAACUCCGAUUGCGAAGGCAGCACACUAAUCCGUAACUGACGUUCAUGCUCGAAAGUGUGGGUAUCAAACAGGAUUAGAUACCCUGGUAGUCCACACGGUAAACGAUGAAUACUCGCUGUUUGCGAUAUACAGCAAGCGGCCAAGCGAAAGCGUUAAGUAUUCCACCUGGGGAGUACGCCGGCAACGGUGAAACU